rnacentral:rRNA from 1 species
GACAGGGGGCCCAAGCGUUAAUCGGAAUCACUGGGCUUAAAGGGUGCGCAGGCGGAUCGGAAAGCGUCUUGUGAAAGCCCCCGGCUCAACCGGGGAACUGCAGGGCGAACUCCCGAUCUUGAGGCAGGUAGGGGCAGACGGAACUGUCGGUGGAGCGGUGAAAUGCUUAGAUAUCGACAGGAACGCCAAUGGCGAAGGCAGUCUGCUGGGCCUGUCCUGACGCUCAGGCACGAAAGCGUGGGGAGCAAAC